rnacentral:rRNA from 1 species
GAUGAACGCUGGCGGCGUGCCUAAUACAUGCAAGUCGAGCGAACGGACGAGAAGCUUGCUUCUCUGAUGUUAGCGGCGGACGGGUGAGUAACACGUGGAUAACCUACCUAUAAGACUGGGAUAACUUCGGGAAACCGGAGCUAAUACCGGAUAAUAUUUUGAACCGCAUGGUUCAAAAGUGAAAGACGGUCUUGCUGUCACUUAUAGAUGGAUCCGCGCGGCAUUAGCUAGUUGGUAAGGUAACGGCUUACCAAGGCAACGAUGCAUAGCCGACCUGAGAGGGGGAUCGGCCACACUGGAACGGAGACAGGGUCCAGACUCCUACGGGAGGCAGCAGUAGGGAAUCUUCCGCAAUGGGCGAAAGCCUGACGGAGCAACGCCGCGUGAGUGAUGAAGGUCUUCGGAUCGUAAAACUCUGUUAUUAGGGAAGAACAUAUGUGUAAGUAACUGUGCACAUCUUGACGGUACCUAAUCAGAAAGCCACGGCUAACUACGUG